rnacentral:lncRNA from 1 species
UUUGUUGAGAGGCUUUCAGGCAGGAGCUUCUCUGUGCUGCUAAAAUGUUGGCUGCUUUUCUUUAUGAUCUUUUCUUUAACAUUUAUUAAAACUUUAGGUGUAGUUUUCCUUUCUUCAGUCAAAUAACAUUUUCUGAUUAUUUCCUGGAAUGCCUGUAGAUGUGCUAACAGGAGAUUUACAGGAGUCAUAUGUGGAGGCACACACCUGUAAUUCCAGCACUUAAGAGGUUAAGGCGGGAGGAUCACACAUUCAAGACCAGACCUAGCAAUCCAUUGUCUCAAAAAACCUAAACCAGCCCCAAGAUGCCUCCUAGGUAACGGUGCUGGAAGCCACUCUUGAUGAUCUGGUUCAGUCCUGGGGCCCAUGCAGUGGAAGCAGAGGAGUGAGCUGCGUCUCUCUCCUCCACGGAUGCUCUGUCUGUGUGCUCCUCCCCUGCCUCCACACCCACACAGAUGCACAGAAGCUAAAUUUAAAAAAAAAAAAAUGUAAUUGAAAGAAAACAGUAACACAAAGCUACAGUGUCAAAAGGAGAUCAUUGUGUUCAGUACAAGUGUCAGACUUUUCCUGCCUCCAACAUUGUUGCUGCUAGUGGGAAGGGAAGUGCGAUUCUGUGAUGCAGCAAGCACCUUAACCCCAGGAGUAGGCCACAGAGCCUUUCCUUACCCCUAGAUGGCUCCUGAGGCCCCUGGGACAGUGGGUGGGGCGCAGGCUGCAUUGUACUGCCUUCCUGCAUUUUUGUUAUUGCUGCCUUCCUGCUCUACCUUCAAAGCUAACUAAGCCCUGCACAUGUGUCAUUAUGAGGGUCUCGAGACCUUUGACCUCAGUCGUGAACGUGUAGCAUGUCACCUAUGUUAUAGAUCCUUACUAUCAGGAUGUCCCUAAGUAAUACUGUGACAGGCAGUAGAACCUCACCUCCACUCUUCCAACUCCUUCCAUGUCAGGGCAUCUUCUCUAACGCCCUGUCCCCACCUCGUCUCCCAAUCUUCCACAGUUAUGCAGCGCUCUUUGUGUGUGGGGAGAAAAAUGUGAUACACAGACACAAGGUGUGAACACUUGAUGACUUGCCUGUCCCUGAGUUACUUGAAUCGUGGGAAUUGCUGAGAGGGUAAUAUUUAACAGCGAUCCCCUCAGUCUCCGGAGGGAGUCCUUGCUUCAGUGAUACAGAGCUUAUACUGUAUUGUGUAUGCUAAUGAUGUCGGCUUGAUUCUAGCAUCUCCCUAAAUUUUCCUCUUAAAUGGCUUCUUUAGUGAUUUAAGUUUGAGUUUGGGCCUUUGUCCAUGUAAUGUCCGGAGUGUGACUGUCUGCGUGAUUGUCAUUGCUCUGAUUCUUUCCGACUGCUACAGGAAGAGGGGACAUUUUUAGAGGCUAUAUAAGGAUAAUAAAUUGGCUGUCCCUUCCCGUUCCUCUCCAUGAACAGAAGAAGCAGAGCAGCCCUCUGGAGACCCAGGCAUGGGCAUGGACAGUGUGGAAGCAGGGGACACAACACCUCCCACCAAAAGGAAAAGCAAGUUCUCAGCGUUAGGCAAGAUCUUCAAGCCGUGG